GCCUACUUGGUGUAGUGGUCAGCACGCUCGACGCAUAACCGAGAAGUCCGUGGUUCGAUUCCCGGCGAAGGCG
rfam:Stegodyphus mimosarum contig102125, whole genome shotgun sequence.